GUCUGCGGCCACACCGACCUGACCGCACCCGAUCCCGUCUGACCUCGGAAGCUAAGCAGGGUCGGGCCCGGUUAGGAUCUUGGAUGGGAGAAAGGCUGGAGAUG
rnacentral:rRNA from 1 species